UUGGGAAUAUUGGACAAUGGGCGCAAGCCUGAUCCAGCCAUGCCGCGUGAGUGAUGAAGGCCCUAGGGUUGUAAAGCUCUUUUGUGCGGGAAGAUAAUGACGGUACCGCAAGAAUAAGCCCCGGCUAACUUCGUGCCAGCAGCCGCGGUAAUACGAAGGGGGCUAGCGUUGCUCGGAAUCACUGGGCGUAAAGGGUGCGUAGGCGGGUCUUUAAGUCAGGGGUGAAAUCCUGGAGCUCAACUCCAGAACUGCCUUUGAUACUGAGGAUCUUGAGUUCGGGAGAGGUGAGUGGAACUGCGAGUGUAGAGGUGAAAUUCGUAGAUAUUCGCAAGAACACCAGUGGCGAAGGCGGCUCACUGGCCCGAUACUGACGCUGAGGCACGAAAGCGUGGGGAGCAAACA
rnacentral:rRNA from 1 species